rnacentral:pre_miRNA from 1 species
AGUGGGAUUGCUGGGUCAUAUGGUCAUUCAAUUCCUAGUUUUUUGAGGUAUCUCCAUACUGCUUUGCAGAGUGGUUGUACUAAUUUGCUGUUCUACCAACAAU